ensembl:lncRNA
CUCAUUUCUAUAUCUGUACUUUCAUAGUUUCAUGGUUCAGCCUCUCAGUUCGAGCUCCGCCCCUGUAACUUUCCAGCAGGCGUCUUCAUCAGAGGCUCCGUGCUGCAAACAGACAAAUUUCAGGCCAAACCGAACCCACUUUUUAAUUCACGCUUGUCCACAUCUGCUCCGCUCUGAGGACAAACUUUCUGUUACUGUGUUUUAGAAGAGGAAACGACAGCAGUCGUGUGGAUCUACCAGCCUCACGCUGAGAUGAGAUCAGCCUUUGUCUUCUCUGAACUUCCUCGCUCACUUUACUCAUCAGGACCUCAGAAAGGAUAAAUGUACAGCUCCUCGUUGUUAGCCACAUGACGUUGGACCCUGCACUGUUAUUUCGCCCUUUUCCAAAGAGAUCUGCUUCUUGGAAAGAAAAGCCACUGGACUUCUUUAAGUUUCAUCUGAGAAGCUUCUGCAGCUGUAAAACCAAACGGUGGAGAGUCCCUGGUAUUUAAACUCUACUGUUCUCCAUAAGAACGUCAGACAGUCGGUGUCAUAAGCUCCGCCCUCCAUCUAAAGAGGGUCGUUCACUCCGUCUUCUCUGUCCAAAAUGUGAAUAUUGGCAUCCUUGAAAGAGUGACCUUUGACUUUAGAUGCAGCACACACAUAUUAGUCAUGAUGAUGUCAUAAUAUAUCAGGCAUGAUGAAAGUUUUCUGGAUGUUAAUUGGUCAUUUUACACGAUGGGGGUUACAGGUUAUGAUGAUGAUGAUGAUGAGACGGCCUUUAUUUAUCCGUUUGUUCAAUUCCACAAGCUGAAAACAAAGGGUGACAUCACAGUGGCUACAUCCAGGUUCAGCAGAAGGUAAAGAAGGAUUAUUUUUAAUAGUGACUCAUGCAAAGCUGCUCUAGACUGAAACAAUAAAAAUAUGAAAUGAUCUAAAUGGGUCGAUCUCAAGUUCACUUAAGGAAGCACAGGAUCAUUUCAGGCAGUGUUUUUAGUUUUACUUCAGUCGAGUAAAAUAUAUUUGAAGACCUAGUUUCAGUUUACUGUGAUUGUGAGAGCUCACUGCUGUAUUUCACGUCCGACUGCGACCUGCAGUGAAACGCUGCAGAACAGAUUUUGGAGAGAGUUUCUCAUUUAGAAAACAAAAAGUCAAGGACAGAACGCUGGAUAGAAGACAGCUGCAGAUCACAAUGUUCUACAGAUAAGAAAAGCAGUGAUGGCUCGGUGAGUCUGGAUCCUGCUCAGCUGCAGCUCCUGAACGUGCUCGUCGUCAGAUUUCUAAAUCUUUCAUUGUUGUAGUUUUGGUUUAAACUGGAAACUGAAUUUCUGCUUUGCACCAUAAUCAGAAAUCUUUUACACUUUUUGAUGUUUUAAAUUCUUUUGAUAGCUGACUCUGACUUUUGAUGUUUUCUUUUUUGUCGUAUCCUAUUAUUUCAUAUUUUUUGUCUCAUUAUUUCUCCUUCUUAACUUUGAUUAUUAUAUUGAAUGACUGGUGCCCUUGUCUGAGUUAGACUGUGUUAUCGUCUGAUUAUUAUGAGGCUUUUGCUUAUGGAUGGUGUAUUGUACUUUUAAUCUGCACUGAAGAUUUAAUUACAUGUAUGCUCACAUUUUUCAUUUGCAAUAAAAUGACUGAAAAGGC